rnacentral:rRNA from 1 species
AACUCUCAAUGGGUAUGAUGUCUUGGUUGCUUGAUUGAACUAGGACGUUGAAUAURGGCUCCAAGUGGGCCAUUUUUGGUAAGCAGAACUGGCGCUGUGGGAUGAACCAAACGUGGAGUUAAGGUGCCAAACUUCCCGCUCAUUAGACCCCAUAAAAGGUGUUGGUUGAUAUUGACAGCAGGACGGUGGCCAUGGAAGUCGGAAUCCGCUAAGGAGUGUGUAACAACUCACCUGCCGAAUCAACUAGCCCUGAAAAUGGAUGGCGCUAGAGCGGGAGACCUAUACUCCACCGUUACGGCUYGAGAGUCCGCUYKGCGGAUCUCCUGGCCGUAACGAGUAGGAGGGUUAUAGCGGUUAGCGUCGAAGGCUUUGGGCGUGAGCCCGGCUGGAGCUUCCGUUAGUGCAGAUCUUGGUGGUAGUAGCAAAUAUUCAAGUGAGAUCCUUGAAGACUGAAGUGGAGAAGGGUUCCACGUGAACAGCAGUUGAAUGUGGGUCAGUCGGUCCUAAGUCAUCGGCUAAUGCCGUAGUAAACGAGAGUCGGAGCUUCUGGUUCUGCUCGGUUGACGAAAGGGAAGCGGGUUAAUAUUCCCGCACCAGGACACGGAGAUGGUCGGGCGCCUCGCGCGCUCGACCAAGGGCGGCAACGCAAACGAAGUUGCAGACGUCGCACGAAGUCCGAGCCAGAGUUCUCUUUUCUGGUUGAGGAGUCCCAUCCAUGGAAAGGGUUCAGCCCGAGAUAUGGACAACGGCUCCGUAAAGCACCGCGGUUCCUGUGGUGUCUCGUGCGCUUCGUGUGGCCCUUGAAAAUGCAACGGAGCCUUAGUGAAUUUCGUGCCUGGCCGUACCGAUAUCCGCAGCAGGUCUCCAAGGUGAACAGCCUCUAGUCGAUAGAAUAAUGUAGGUAAGGGAAGUCGGCAAAUUAGAUCCGUAACUUUGGGAAAAGGAUUGGCUCUAAGGGUUGGGCCGGUCGGGCUGUUGCGCGAAACUCGUUGGCUUUGCCCAUGGCUGCGGGAGGCCUCGGCCGAACGCGGACUAGCCGGUAAGGCCGGCUUGUGGAGCGCUUCAGCUGCGUGCGCGUUUCGGCGCGCACUUCGGCCGGCAAUAAACAACCGACUUAGAACUGGCACGGACUCGGGGAAUCCGACUGUCUAAUUAAAACAGAGGAGACGGAUGGUCCUUGCGGACGUUGACCGUCUCUGAUUUCUGCCCAGUGCUCUGAAUGUUAACUUAAGGAAACUUAAUUAAGCGCGGGUAAACGGCGGGAGUAACUAUGACUCUCUUAAGGUAGCCAAAUGCCUCGUCGGCUAACUACCGACGCGCACGAAUGGAUUAACGAGACUCCCACUGUCCCUAUCUACUAUCUAGCGAAACCACAGCCAAGGGAACGGGCUUGGCAAAUACAGCGGGGAAAGAAGACCCUGUUGAGCUUGACUCUAGUCUGACUCUGUGAAGAAUCAUGAGAGGUGUAGCAUAAGUGGGAGCCGCAAGGCGCCAGUGAAAUACCACUACUUUCAUCGAUUCCUUACUUAUUCGGUAAGACGGGAAUUGGACUUCAAUGUUCUUGAUUUUGGUGUUAAGGGCGGCCGCUUGGCGGCCGCUCGACCCGCGCCGACGACCGUGUCAGGCGGGGAGUUUGACUGGGGCGGUACAUCUGUCAAAUCGUAACGCAGGUGUCCUAAGGCGAGCUCAGAGAGGACGGAAACCUCUCGUAGAGUAAAAGGGCAAAAGCUCACUUGAUCUUGAUUUUCAGUACGAAUACAGACCGCGAAAGCGUGGCCUAUCGAUCCUUUUGAAUUCUAGAGAGUUUCUAGCAAGAGGUGUCAGAAAAGUUACCACAGGGAUAACUGGCUUGUGGCAGCCAAGCGUCCAUAGCGACGUUGCUUUUUGAUCCUU